AGUCACUGACAUUAGAUACCCCCGUAGUCCAGGGUGUAAACGCCGCAGACUUGGUGUUGGAGGCCCUUUGGGGGCAUUCAGUGCCGGAGAGAAGUUGUUAAGUCUGCUACUUGGGGAGUACGUCCGCAAGGAUGAAACUUAAAGGAAUUGGCGGGGGAGCACCGCAACGGGAGGAGCGUGCGGUUUAAUUGGAUUCAACACCGUAAAACUCACCAGGGAAGACUGUUACAUGAAGGCCGAGAUGAAGACUCUGCUAGAUUUUCAG
rnacentral:rRNA from 1 species